ensembl:lncRNA Pdrg1 p53 and DNA damage regulated 1
GCUUCGUAGACCCGAAAGGGGUGCUUGGCUCUGGUUCUGUGGUAAGUAGUCCCUAAAGGGAGUUCGUCCUGGGGAUGUUAUCAUUGAAUAGUGACUGAUAGAUUGAUCGGUUGGUUUAGACUAAACUUUAGAGGAUCUCAUGUAUCUCAGACUUCUCGAACUCACUGUGUCGCCUAAGACAGCCUUGAACAACCCGUGGUAUGUCCUUGUCAGUGUCCUGAGUUCUGGGAUUACAGGUGUGCAUUUAGAUUUUAAAAGUCUCUCUCUGGCUCCUUCCUAGAGUGCAGCGAGCCAUUUAGCUGAUCCAGAUGAUCUGGAUUUAGACAAGAUGGGAAUGAUGGGGUGAGACAUAUACUUGGUGGUCUUCAGAAGCUACCAUAAUGACCGUAAUGACUCUUCGUGAUCUAUAUUUGAAAAGGCUUGAUGGUUCACUAGCUGCAGCCCCAGAAAGUCGCCUCUUGAGCAGUUAGUUGUCAUAGUGGUACGGUGCAACAGCUGCUCCAGUCCAGUAUGGUUGAAUGUCUGGUGAGACUGUCAGAGUUACUUAACAAGAGCUUGUCAAUAGUCACUGUCUAGAGGAGACACUCAACUAACUCCCUGGUGACCCCGGUAUACUCUCAAGUUUGAGUGGAUGAUACAAAGUGGCUCAAUCUGCAAACAUUUUCCCACCACCUUCUGUGGAGGAGGAAAGCUCCAUACAAACAGAGGAGCUGGAAACCAAGUGGGUAAAGAAGAACGUUCACACCUGAGUCGUCCAUGUCAGGCAAGACAUUGGAACUUCACCAGAAACGAUACCUUGUUUCUUCAGAUUGGGGCAGGAGGCAGCUGAGUUCCCAUCUGCUCCUGUUUUCAGAUUGUAGACCUGGACACCAAGAGGAAUCAGAACCGAGAGGGCCUGAGGGCCCUACAGAAAGACCCGAGUGUCUCUGAAGACGUGAUGGUUUGCUUUGGGAACAUGUUCAUCAAAAUGCCUCACCUUAAGACGAAGGAAAUGAUCCAGAAAGAUCAGGAGCACCUGGAUAAAGAAAUAGAAAGGCUGCGGAGCCAACUGAAAGUGAAAGUUAACCGCCUCCUAGAAGCCCAAGGAAAACCGGAGCUAAAGGGUUUUAACCUGAACCCCCUCAACCAGGAUGAGCUUAAAGCCCUCCAGGUCAUCUUGAAAGGAUGAGACUCACAGCAGGAUGGGGACCUGUGACUAGGACCCUCCCCAGCCUUGAGACCUGCAAGGACAGGAUUGUCUGGUCAAGGGGACAGGCAUAAGGAAUGUGGCUUCUGUACAAAAUCCUUUUCUGUGGUGCUUGGCUGCUUUGUGACAAGAGAGAACCCUUAGUCUGUUCUGUGGGCUUGGCCUGGCCACCAGAGCUUAGACACAAGCUCUAUUGACAACCCUGGCAGCUGUCAGCAGGUGUGUGGGUGUGUGAGAAUGUCUGCAGCCGACACUUCUCAACAGUAGCCUGCUGUUCACAUGGGCCUGGCUAGGGAUGGAGGAGAGGGCGGACGGGGAGCUCCAUUCCAGGUUUCUGCACAGUGAGGCAUUUCAGGCAGUUUGUGUAGCAACUGGAAUAAAGCAGGAGAUUGACAGUUCACUUCUGUGUGAAGCAGACCUAGUACUCCUCACCAGCUGCAGGGUAGACACAUUCAUUUCCCCACUGCUCCAGUUCUGCCCUCCCCGACCCCCCAAAUCCCCCAACCCCCACUGGCUUUCUGCAGUAGGUGCUGCCAGUCAUCCUGUGAUUGCUCCUGAGGUAGGAGUUCUGGCCCGGGGCCGCCAAGCAGUGCCCUUCCUGAUGUGACUCGACGUGGAAUAUCCUCCUGACCUCUGAGAGCAGGGCCUGGCUGGCUAGCUGGCUUGAGAUUACAGUGUGCGUGGUAUGAGAGCAAAGCUGGCCUCUGUUCCCUGCAGCUCGAUAAAAGCUGAACAAACCACAGCUCUGAGUUGUCACCUCAUUCUGUCCUUCACCAAGGGUCCCGCCCUUCUAGAGUGCUACCUAAGAAAUGGUGGCUCUUGCCUUAAAGUGUGUAACAUCAGGAAUAGACAGACCACUAUCUGCUACCCUCACCACAUUUGGCCCAUAGUUACACCAGAAAGGAGCUGGUGUAACUAUCAAGUUUCUUGAAAGAAGGGGGUGGAGAGGUGGCCCUGGGGUUAAGAGCAUUUGCCAUUUUCAGAGGACUAAGUUAAGUUCCCAGUCCUACAUACUAGCUUGUAACCAUCCAUAACUCCAGUUCUAGGGAAUUGACACCUUCUAUUCUCCACAGGCAUACACAGUACAUGUACACACAUGUGCAUACAUGCAGAAUGCCCAUACAAAUCUUUAAAAAUGAACUAGUCAGGUAUGGUGGUGUACACCAUUAAUCCCAGCACUUGGGAGACAGAAGUAGGUGGAAAUUUCUAUUUCCAAUUGUCAUGCACACUGCCCGAGUUCAAGGCUAGACUGGUCUACGG